rnacentral:lncRNA from 1 species
AACAUUUUCCUCUACCUCAUUGAUAAAUACUACAUAAUCAUUCGAAAUAGCAUUUUUCCUUUCUCUAGUGGAUCUCCGCAAUGAAGCUAGCUCUUGAGGCACUUGUUCUUGAGGAUCUUGAAUUUGAUAUGAAUUUUGUUCUUCCUGAACAACCAGAUCAUCUUGAGUUUGUUCAAUAAUGGGAAAGUCAAUUGGUGGAAGAAUCAGUUCUGGAAUUGUUA